GGCAAAUAUAUGCCAUCUAAGAAUUAGCAAAGUAUGAUGCAACGUGUAUACACACUAGCGAUAUAUCCGUGAAUGGACUACCACCAUUUUACUGUCCUGUUUCCUAGUAGGUGCAGCAUGUACUUGAUUGUUGUGUUUGAGGACGACAACCAAACCGGCCUGGUGGCCAAGGAAUGGUUUUCAGGUGGCCUGGCAUGGUGGCCGCCAUAUAAGGACCAAUUUCAGAUCCUAAGAGCAGUUCAGAAGAGGGUCAUGCCAGACCCAGCAAAAGGGUGGCGGCAGUUCCGCGCUCGUGUACUGUAUGAAUCAGACUCCAUUCAAACUAUCCAGUCCAAGUGGGACAAAGCAUGCAUCACGUCAGACUUAAAUACAGAUGUUGAAAUGCAGGAGAAUCCAGUUAGAGAACGUAAAGGACCAAGACAGCUCAGAGAGUCAUCAUCAUCACUAUCUGAGGAGGAGGAUGAUCCUGAACACCUAAGAAGACCGCCCCCUUUACCUUUGAAUAUUGCAAGACCAAGAGAAGAGCCAACUUUACACUAAACUCUCAACAGUAACUUGCCUCAGUGAUAUGGAGGCUGAAGGACCACUGCACCACACUGAUCAACAGCAAACCUGCCUGAAUGAAAUCCCUCGGCAUCCCCAAACCUGCCUGACUGAAAUCCCCCGGCCAAACCCGCCUUCCUCAAACCUACCAGCUGAUUCCAGCUACCU